rnacentral:misc_RNA from 1 species
GUUACUGAACCUGUCAUGCCACUCUCGGAGAAGCUCAAGGAAUUAGGAUUAAAAGGUAACCAGAGAGAUGAGUAUUACGCAUGGGGACUGCAUCGAAUAGCGAAAGCUGUGAGCUUCUUGAAUAAUGACUGCAAACUUGUUCAUGGCAACGUUUGCCUGGCUAGUGUUGUCGUUACUCAAACUCUAGACUGGAAGUUGCAUGCCUUUGAUGUUCUUUCGGAAUUUGAUGGGAAUAAUGAGUCUUCUAUUGGGCCAAUGCUGCAAUAUGA